rnacentral:rRNA from 1 species
UACGUAGGGGGCUAGCGUUGUCCGGAAUCAUUGGGCGUAAAGCGCGUGUAGGCGGCCCGGUAAGUCCGCUGUGAAAGUCGGGGGCUCAACCCUCGGAUGCCGGUGGAUACUGUCGGGCUCGAGUACGGAAGAGGCGAGUGGAAUUCCUGGUGUAGCGGUGAAAUGCGCAGAUAUCAGGAGGAACACCAAUGGCGAAGGCAGCACUCUGGGACGUGACUGACGCUGAGACGCGAAAGCGUGGGGAGCAAACGGG